rnacentral:lncRNA from 12 species
AUGUGCCAGGAGUCUUCAGCCCAGAAGUGCACAGGGGAGAGACCAACUAACAGAGUGGAAAGCCUUCCAUCAUCCAGUGAGUUGGCGAAGUGGAGUCUAGGGCUUCUCCCAUACAUUGAGGUGACUAGUGAGGUAAAAGGAGGAAUUGGUGAUCAAGAAAAGAGGCUCAAUAAAUUAUGGAAUGAAUGGUCUUCAGAGUCACUAAGAGGAAGAAAAUUGAAAAGAUUGCCUGGCUAAUUGAAAAAGAAAUUUGUUUGAGGGCCUCAGGUGGUAUGUACUUGUGUUAAUUUACUCUGAUUAAAUGUGAAUGUCCCCCCAAAAUGGGCACAAUCGUAUGAUAAUAUCCCAAAUAGAGAAUCUGUUAAACAGUAUGUAUCUAUUUAAGAAGAAAAACAAACUCUGCUUUGAAUAACAAUAAUUGGUCCAUUUAAAACCUUUUAUGUACAACUGUUAUAUAUGUUUACUAAGCAGUUUAUGACAUUUACAAAUGUUUCAUAACAUUAAGUGCAAACAGGAGAAUGUGAAAUUGUAUAAAUAAUAUUACUGUAAUCCUGUUAAAUUACUUACAAAAAUAAUUUGUUAUAUAUUACUACUUUUAAGGAAUUAGAUGGAAAGGGAAAAAAAGGUGGAUAUUUUCAAUAACUCAUGAAAAUCUAUUCUCUUCAGGAUAAUGAUGCUUUCCGCUCAUUUGCUGGUUUUAACAUUGUUGAACAUAUCCCUGAUCAUAAGAUCUGUUUUUCCAUAAGGAGUGAGUUGAUAUCACACCAUGAAAAAGGAGAGUAAAAUACCCAGCCCUGAGAGACCAUUUUCCACGUCUUCCCUCUCUCUCUCUUCCACCAUCAGUAAUGAAUUAAGUCAGCUGUCACUGCGUGACUUUGGGACAGAGAAACUAAAGUAAAAGCAAAACCAUGAAAAACUGGUUUUUUGCUCCUUUUCCUGCUUCUAUUCUUGCUGGGACCUACACCCCCACCUUAUAUAAGCCUUAUAAAACAGAUAGUGUAUGUCCUCUUUUUAAAGGUCAAGAAGGUAAUGAUUUUUUGGAGUCUUCCAGCACAAUCAAUAACACCUAAGUUGUGACUAGGUGGGGUCUUCAUGAAAGUUUUCUAAGACCGCUGACUCAUCAGGACCCUUGGCUCCGGGGCAUAAGUGACUAUUAUGAAGAGCACCUAAACACUUGGCUUUGUUCCUGGAUCCUGAGAAGACACUACACUGGACCACAAUUCUCAAUAAAAACCCCACGCCCCACA